UAGCACGUAGGUGGGUUUGUAAGUCAGAUGUGAAAGCCUUCUGUUCAACGGGAGAAUUGCAUCUGAAACUACAGACCUUGAGUAUAGGAGGGGAGAGUGGAACUUCUGGUGGAGCGGUGAAAUGCGUAGAUAUCAGAAGGAACGCCGGCGGCAAAAGCAAUUCUUUGGCCUUUUCUUGACACUCAGUGCGCGAAAGUAGGGGAAGCAAAGGGGAUUAGAUACCCCGUUAGCCCUAGCGGAAAACGAGGGGCCAUAAAGUAAAGGGUUUUU
rnacentral:rRNA from 1 species